GAGUUUGAUCCUGGCUCAGGAUGAACGCUGGCGGCGUGCCUAACACAUGCAAGUCGAGCGGUAAGGUCCCUUCGGGGAUACACGAGCGGCGGACGGCUGAGUAACACGUAGGAACGUACCCCAAACUGAGGGAUAAGCAUCAGAAAUGGUGUCUAAUACCGCAUGUGCUCUUCGGAGUAAAGCUACGGCGGUUUGGGAACGGCCUGCGUCCGAUUAGCUUGUUGGUGAGGUAAUGGCUCACCAAGGCUAUGAUCGGUAGCUGGUCUGAGAGGAUGAUCAGCCAGACUGGGACUGAGAACGGCCCAGACUCCUACGGGAGGCAGCAGUGGGGAAUUUUCCACAAUGGGGGCAACCCUGAUGGAGCAACGCCGCGUGCAGGAUGAAUGCCUUCGGGUUGUAAACUGCUUUUCUCUGUGACGAUUAUGACGGUAACAGAGGAAUAAGGAUCGGCUAACUCCGUGCCAGCAGCCGCCGCGGUAAU
rnacentral:rRNA from 2 species